rnacentral:rRNA from 1 species
UAGGGAAUCUUCCACAAUGGACGAAAGUCUGAUGGAGCAACGCCGCGUGAGCGAUGAAGGCCUUCGGGUCGUAAAGCUCUGUUGUUAGGGAAGAACAAGUGCGAGAGUAACUGCUCGCACCUUGACGGUACCUAACCAGAAAGCCACGGCUAACUACGUGCCAGCAGCCGCGGUAAUACGUAGGUGGCAAGCGUUGUCCGGAAUUAUUGGGCGUAAAGCGCGCGCAGGUGGUCCUUUAAGUCUGAUGUGAAAGCCCACGGCUCAACCGUGGAGGGUCAUUGGAAACUGGGGGACUUGAGUGCAGAAGAGGAAAGUGGAAUUCCAAGUGUAGCGGUGAAAUGCGUAGAGAUUUGGAGGAACACCAGUGGCGAAGGCGACUUUCUGGUCUGUAACUGACACUGAGGCGCGAAAGCGUGGGGAGCAAACAGG